rnacentral:rRNA from 1 species
GAUGAACGCUGGCGGCGUGCCUAAUACAUGCAAGUCGAGCGGAGGGACGCGAAGCUUGCUGCUCGGAGGUUAGCGGCGGACAAGGGGGUAACACCUCGAUAGCCUCCCUAUACGACUGGGAGAAUUACGGGAAACCGGUGCUGAUAACGCGUGAUAUUUUGAACCGCUUGGUUCAAGGGUGAAGGACGGUCUUGCUGUCGCUUGUAGAUGGAUCCGCGCUGCAUUAGCUAGUUGGUAAGGUAAUGGCUUACCAAGGCAACGAUGCAUAGCCGACCUGAGAGGGUGAUCGGCCACACUGGAACUGAGACACGGUCCAGACUCCUACGGGAGGCAGCAGUAGGGAAUCUUCCGCAAUGGGCGAAAGCCUGACGGAGCAACGACGCGUGAGUGAUGAAGGUCUUCGUAUCGUAAAACUCUGUUAUUAGGGAAGAACAUAUGUGUAAGUAACUGUGCACAGCUUGACGGUACCUAAUCAGAAAGCCACGGCUAACUACGUG